GUGCGUCGGACAGAUACUGUACUCACACAGAAACGUAAAACGAAGACAUAUAUCAUAAAUUGUCACAGACAACUGGUCGUCGAGAGCGUCCCGGCUGCUCAUGUUUGCAUCAUUUGAUCUACAGCUGGCUUUCGUUGGGAAAGGAAUGAUUGCUGUAGCAGAAGGAAACGUGUGGGAAUGGAUUGAGUGUACACAGAUAACUGGUGUAAAGUCAGGAAACUUUUCUGGAAUCUGUUUAAAGGCAUAAGAGUGCGCAAUUUGUUGGACUGGAAAAAUUGGAUAAUAUAUUGGAAGCCCGAUGUGCGUACAAGUUCAAUACUACUUUCCUUGUGACUUGGGUUGUGACAUGGGGCUGUUGUUACAUUUUGGAUAACUUGUCUGUCAGGAACAGUUGCUGAUGAUAUUGCAUUCUUUGUUGUCGUGAUUGUUCAAGUCGUCUCAGAUGAUCAGCUUUUGCUCCUACUCUCUUACUAUCUGGUAGAAGCAAUAAGCCUUCUGUUGACUGGGGAAUUUUCUGCCUCAUUGCCUCAGCAGAUUUACAAAUAUCUGCUGCUACGGUUUGUCGCAAUGCUGGACAUUGGCAAAGUUUUGAAGUUCUUUCCUAUCACAAAGACAUAUGAAUGUUUUGGGUCUGGCUAUAGUGACAUAGUUCGGAUCCACGCUCCUGUAAUCACUGCCUGCGCUAAGCAAGCUAUUACAGUUGCUGCGUUUGUCUCAUUCAUCUACUCACAUAUUGUACUCACUCAGAACGUUGCUGCUGAAGAAUUUCUAGAAAACUCUGAAUUAGUAUGGUGACUGGUGUUGAUAUGACUUUUGUGUUAAUCUCAUCAAAUGAUAACAUUUCUAUGCCAAAGAGUUGAUUACAACUGAUAUUACAUUAUGUGGUUUUACUGAAAUUCACUUGAUGGAGAUACAGGUGCAGGCAUGAUGGAGUUAGAUGAAGACUCCUGCUAUCGUCUGUUGUUUUCUGGACCACCCAAGCUAGCUUCCAGAGGUGUUGGUCUAGUGGUUAGACAUAAUGUGUUGAAGUCACUGGAAUCGUUUGAUCCUAUCUCAGAUACGAUAUUGCGUGCUGGCUUUCUUACUGACAAAGGAAUUUGAAUGUCAUUGUUUGUUAUGUUCCAACAGAACAAUGUGAAGAUGUAGUUAAAGAUGAAUUUUAUCAACAACUUGGUGUUGCUAUGCAUAAGACACGUUUGCUUGUUGUUGUGCUGGGUGACUUUAAUGCUAGUUUUGGAAAGGCAAUUUCAAAAGUUGUUAGUUAGUUUGGUUUAUCACAGUCAACCAGUGACAAUGGUGUUAGACUGAUAGAAUUUUGUCAAGCUCAUAACCUGGGAAUCACAAACACCUUUUUCCGGCAUAAGAAUAUACACACUGCCAGUUGGUAUCCUCCUAAUCCCAAAUUACAGCCAAGUUUAAAAGACUAUGUUUUGGUAAAGCAGUCUAUGCAAAAAAAUGGUACAUGACACAAGAGUAUGACGAGGACCAAAUUUCGACAGUGACCACAAACUUGUUUGUAGUAAGAUGGUACUGAAACUUCAGAAGCCACGUGGGAAAAGACAAGUGAAAACCUUUAAACGGGAUGUACUCAGUGUUCCUAUUUCUAGGCAAAUAUCGAAAUAAUGUCAUGACUAGAUUCACACAAAGAUUAUCUACGGAGACUGAAGCUAUGUGAUCUGACUUUUGUAGUGCAAUUAUGGACUCUGCAAAUGAGCACCUAAACAAACCAGGAUUUCAAGAAAAAUGACAGACUAAUAUGUGACAGCUACUGUGGCAUUUCACUACUCAGUGUACCUGGAACGGUAUUAGCAAAUAUUCUUCUGAAACGACUUAAUCAGUCAGUUGAACCUCUACUACUAGAAGCCCAAUGUGCUUUUCGUUCGGGUAGAGGAACAAUUGAUCAAUUAUGGUUGGUUUGUCAGUUAACUGAAGUCCAUUGAACAUGAGUGUGCUGUCCAUGUUUGUUUUGUUGAUCUGGAGAAAGCUUUUGACUUUGUACCUAGAGAUGUUCUCAGACUACUUUGAAAGAGAGAUGCAUUGAGGAACAAAUUGUAUAAUUGAUUGUUGACAUAUUACAAUGGAACACAUUGUGUUGUCAAAUCUAAAGGUGAGAAGUCCUCAAAAUUUGAAGUUGCAACUGGUGUACAUGUCUCCUGUAUUAUUUAAUUGUACGUAAAGCACUAAACCAAGCUAAAGUUGGCGGAAUAGAAAUUGAAUACAGGAAAGAGGGAGUUUUCUACAUGAACUACAGAGUCAAAGCUCAAGGAACUAGUGUUAUUAAAGCUGCUAUGUAAACUGAUGAUUUAACUUUAAUUAAUUGGGAAGACCUCGGGUGAACUACAAAAGUUAGUAGACAGUCUACAUGAGUCCUGCUGUAAAUGGGGAAUGAAAAUCAGCAUCAAGAAACAAAAGUUUUGAGCAUUGGUUGCGAGCAGGCACGUAUUCUUCUUGACGGUUCUGUUCUUGAAAUCGGUACAGAGUUUACUUACUUGGGAAAUAUAUCAUGAGCCAAAUGGUGGAUGCAAUGCUGAAAUUGAUGCUCGUAUGUGCAAAGCAAGUAAAAUUUUUGGUUCCUGGAAGAAAAGGGUAUUUACCAACAGACAGUUUUCUAUCUCCACAAAGAUGAAAAUUUUCUGUGCUUUGGUGAGACCAGUUUUGCUAUAUAGAUGUGAGACUUGGUCCGUUACACAAGCAAACUUGCAACGCUUAAAUACAUUCCACAUGCGGUGCAUUUGAUUGAUUCUUGGUGUUUCAAGAUGGAAUAUAAUCAAGUAUUCAGACAAUUUAGAACAAGCGUGUGAAGACCCUAUUGCUAUGACAAUACAGAGACAACAAUUGCACUGGGCCAUCUGCUGUGCAUGAGUGACAAUUGUCCCCCAAAACACCUACUUCGCAGCAGACUUAGUAAUGCAACAAGACCAACACAUGGGUCUAAAUAGAGAUGGAUAGAUAUUGUCACAAGAGGCCUCAGGUCAUAACGUAUUGGUCUUCAUGAUGCUGAUGAUUGUGCUGCUUGGAGAAGCGCUAUUAUGCUGCGUUGCCAAACCCAUAGUGGGUAUGGUGGAAUCAAGGUUCAAGGACACUACUCAGUACUGUAUUGCAACAUUGGAACAACAUGUCAUUCAAUUUGAGGAAAUGCAGUUUAACAGUGACUAUUAAUUAAAAGCAUGUGUAAACUCAUUGUGGGGAAGGAAAACAAUGCUUCAUCAACUGUCUUUCAAUGAAAGGCCUUGUUGACAAUGACUGCGGUGUCUGCUACUAGUUACACUGUGAAUGCAACCUGGCUGAUUCUGAGCUAAGCCAAGUCCUUGUGAAGCCAUCCACUUAACCAGAAGAAGGAGUCACGACUAGUGAAGCUUGCGCUAGUAUUAAUAACUUAAAAAACCGAAGUGAUGAAAGAAUUCGUAGUUGUACUGGUACUGGAGUGGUACUUUGAAAAGGAUUGACAUUGCACUUUAGUGGUAAAUAUUUUUCACUAUUAUUAAAUA